AGUGAACGCUGGCGGCGUGCUUAACACAUGCAAGUCGAACGAGAACGGGUCUUAGCUUGCUAAGAUUAUCAGCUAAGUGGCGCACGGGUGAGUAAUAUAUAGUUAACCUGCCCUAGAGAGAGGGAUAACGUUUGGAAACGGACGCUAACACCUCAUAUGCCUUUAAGUCAUAAGACUGCAAGGGAAAUAUUUAUAGCUCUAGGAUCGGCCUGUACGGUAUCAGUUUGUUGGUGAGGUAAUGGCUCACCAAGACUAUGACGCCUAACUGGUUUGAGAGGACGAUCAGUCACACUGGAACUGGGACACGGUCCAG
rnacentral:rRNA from 1 species